ACAAACCAGAUGUGAGUGAGAUCGCUCAGUUUGACAAGACUAAACUGAAGAAGACUGAGACUGAGGAGAAGAACACUCUACCUACCAAAGAGGGUAAAUACAAUGCCUUAGUAGCCACUGGAUUUACUAUGAAAUCUGAUGGCAACAAUGUCUGCAACUAGGACUACUAGACCCUGAAAUAAGGCACUCUGAUGGGUAUGCCAUCUUGAAUUUGGUCAUUGACCAGGAGAAGCAGGUGGAAUCCUAAAAUGGCUGCUGUCAUCAUUCCUCACUCACAAGCUACAUCCCAGAGGGACUGUCUCUCAACCUGAACUCUCCAUUCUGGAAUGGAUCCUCAUGGCUGAUUUACUGAUUUAAUAAAAGCCAUGUAGACUAA